rnacentral:rRNA from 1 species
UACGAACGCUGGCGGCGUGCUUAACACAUGCAAGUCGAACGGAAUGGCCCUGCUUUUGUGGGGUGCUCGAGUGGCGAACGGGUGAGUAACACGUGAGUAACCUGCCCUUGACUUUGGGAUAACUUCAGGAAACUGGGGCUAAUACCGGAUAGGAGCUCCUGCUGCAUGGUGGGGGUUGGAAAGUUUCGGCGGUUGGGGAUGGACUCGCGGCUUAUCAGCUUGUUGGUGGGGUAGUGGCUUACCAAGGCUUUGACGGGUAGCCGGCCUGAGAGGGUGACCGGCCACAUUGGGACUGAGAUACGGCCCAGACUCCUACGGGAGGCAGCAGUGGGGAAUAUUGCACAAUGGGCGGAAGCCUGAUGCAGCAACGCCGCGUGCGGGAUGACGGCCUUCGGGUUGUAAACCGCUUUCGCCUGUGACGAAGCGUGAGUGACGGUAAUGGGUAAAGAAGCACCGGCUAACUACGUGCCAGCAGCCGCGGUGAUACGUAGGGUGCGAGCGUUGUCCGGAUUUAUUGGGCGUAAAGGGCUCGUAGGUGGUUGAUCGCGUCGGAAGUGUAAUCUUGGGGCUUAACCCUGAGCGUGCUUUCGAUACGGGUUGACUUGAGGAAGGUAGGGGAGAAUGGAAUUCCUGGUGGAGCGGUGGAAUGCGCAGAUAUCAGGAGGAACACCAGUGGCGAAGGCGGUUCUCUGGGCCUUUCCUGACGCUGAGGAGCAAAGCGUGGGGAGCGAACAGGCUUAGAUACCCUGGUAGUCCACGCUGUAAACGGUGGGUACUAGGUGUGGGGUCCAUUCCACGGGUUCCGUGCCGUAGCUAACGCUUUAAGUACCCCGCCUGGGGAGUACGGCCGCAAGGCUAAAACUCGAAGGAAUUGACGGGGCCCCGCACAAGCGGCGGAGCAUGCGGAUUAAUUCGAUGCAACGCGUAGAACCUUACCUGGGUUUGACAUGGAUCGGGAGUGCUCAGAGAUGGGUGUGCCUCUUUUGGGGUCGGUUCACAGGUGGUGCAUGCCUGUCGUCAGCUCGUGUCGUGAGAUGUUGGGUUAAGUCCCGCAACGAGCGCAACCCUUGUUCACUGUUGCCAGCACGUUAUGGUGGGGACUCAGUGGAGACCGCCGGGGUCAACUCGGAGGAAGGUGGGGAUGACGUCAAGUCAUCAUGCCCCUUAUGUCCAGGGCUUCACGCAUGCUACAAUGGCUGGUACAGAGAGUGGCGAGCCUGUGAGGGUGAGCGAAUCUCGGAAAGCCGGUCUCAGUUCGGAUUGGGGUCUGCAACUCGACCUCAUGAAGUCGGAGUCGCUAGUAAUCGCAGAUCAGCAACGCUGCGGUGAAUACGUUCCCGGGGCU